UUGAACGCUGGCGGCAUGCCUUACACAUGCAAGUCGAACGGCAGCGCGGGAGCAAUCCUGGCGGCGAGUGGCGAACGGGUGAGUAAUACAUCGGAACGUGCCCAAUCGUGGGGGAUAACGCAGCGAAAGCUGUGCUAAUACCGCAUAAGAUCUAUGGAUGAAAGCAGGGGACCGCAAGGCCUUGCGCGAAUGGAGCGGCCGAUGGCAGAUUAGGUAGUUGGUGAGGUAAAGGCUCACCAAGCCUUCGAUCUGUAGCUG
rnacentral:rRNA from 1 species